rnacentral:lncRNA from 1 species
GUUUAUCUAUAAAAUGGGUUUAUUGCAUAAAUAAGCUAUCCCAUAAUUUUUGGUAUUUAUUUGGAGUUGAAAAACUAUUUUAUUUAAAUAGUUAAUUAUACAGCCCUAAAGGCAUUUAUAGGGCAAAUGUAUUUUUAUAUAUUUUAUUUGGAAGGGACAUUAGUUCCAAAAGUUGAAUCAUAUUAUAAUUUGAUUAUACAAAAAUUUUGGAAUUUAUUUGGAUCAAUUUGGAGUUUAAAAUCAAAGGUUAUCAAAGAAAACAGAAAAGGGAAAAGAAAAGAACAAAAAAAAAGAGAAAACCGGACCGGCCCGGCCCAAUGGACCGAACCAGCCCAACUCACCUCGUGCGCCCGAACCGGACCGGCCCCGUACUUGCGUGCGCGCGCGAGCCGCUGACAAGCGGGCGCCGCCUAUCGGACUCAUCGUCCCCAAACGGCAAGCGUUGGAAUCACCGCGAGCGCGUCCCGUGCGUGACCGCCGCGCGCCAUCACCAAAUUCCGCCAU